GCUCUGUCGAAGAUGUUGCGACUGGCCCAAUAUGCCUCUUCAACAUACUGACGUGAAAGACUGGAUGCAAUCGAGAAUUUUCAGUGCAAGGGAUGUUUGACGAUAAGGUUGCAACUUCAGAUAUGGGCUAUUGGGCUGCUCUUGCUGCUUCAGAUCCGUUCCACUUCUGAUCCGCUCCAAAGGUAAAUUGUCUUCAUUUCCCUCUCGUGCCAUAAUUCCCAAUCUAUCAUUCUCAAUCCCUAACCCUCGUCUCAUUUCCCCCAAUUCUCCUUCAUCCUCUUCGCGU